AUGGCAAUUCUCCAUACAUAUGGGAAGCCUGAUAUCUUCUUGACCAUGACUUGCAAUCCAAAAUGGGAAGAGAUAACUAAUGAGUUGCUGCCUGGUCAGAUUGCGCAAGACCGACCUGAUAUUGUGGCUCGCGUGUUCUACGGCAAACUAGAGGCUAUGAAGGACAUGUUGUUCAAGAAGCAGAUCCUGGGUGUUGUUGUCACUUAUGUAUACGUAGUCGAGUUCCAAAAAAGGGGCCUUCCCCACGCACAUUUUUUGUUGAUCAUGUACUCAGCAUAUAAGCUUAUCGUCCCAGAGUAG
rnacentral:rRNA from 1 species